rnacentral:rRNA from 1 species
UACACAUGCAAGUCGAACGGUAACAGGUUAAGUUGACGAGUGGCGAACGGGUGAGUAAUAUAUCGGAACGUGCCCAGUAGUGGGGGAUAGCCCGGCGAAAGCCGGAUUAAUACCGCAUACGACCUACGGGUGAAAGCGGGGGAUCGCAAGACCUCGCGCUAUUGGAGCGGCCGAUAUCAGAUAGCUAGUUGGUGGGGUAAAAGCUCACCAAGGCGACGAUCUGUAGCUGGUCUGAGAGGACGACCAGCCACACUGGGACUGAGACACGGCCCAGACUCCUACGGGAGGCAGCAGUGGGGAAUUUUGGACAAUGGACGCAUGUCUGAUCCAGCCAUGCCGCGUGCGGGAAGAAGGCCUUCGGGUUGUAAACCGCUUUUGUCAGGGAAGAAAAGUCUGGGGCUAAUACCCUCGGACGAUGACGGUACCUGAAGAAUAAGCACCGGCUAACUACGUGCCAGCAGCCGCGGUAAUACGUAGGGUGCAAGCGUUAAUCGGAAUUACUGGGCGUAAAGCGUGCGCAGGCGGUUCUAUAAGACAGAUGUGAAAUCCCCGGGCUCAACCUGGGAACUGCAUUUGUGACUGUAGAGCUGGAGUACGGCAGAGGGGGAUGGAAUUCCGCGUGUAGCAGUGAAAUGCG